GGGGCGUUACGGUGGGAGUCGAGCGAGGAGGCCCGGCUUGCUGGGUGGAUUAGUGGCGGAAGCGGGUGAGUAACGCGUGAGUAACCUGCCCUUAACUCUGGGAUAAGCCUGGGAAACUGGGUCUAAUACCGGAUAGGAGCGCCUACCGCAUGGUGGGUGUUGGAAAGAUUUAUCGGUUUUGGAUGGACUCGCGGCCUAUCAGCUUGUUGGUGAGGUAAUGGCUCACCAAGGCGACGACGGGUAGCCGGCCUGAGAGGGUGACCGGCCACACUGGGACUGAGACACGGCCCAGAUUCCUACGGGAGGCAGCAGUGGGGAAUAUUGCACAAUGGGCGCAAGCCUGAUGCAGCGACGCCGCGUGAGGGAUGACGGCCUUCGGGUUGUAAACCUCUUUCAGUAGGGAAGAAGCGAAAGUGACGGUACCUGCAGAAGAAGCACCGGCUAACUACGUGCCAGCAGCCGCGGUAAUACGUAGGGUGCGAGCGUUAUCCGGAAUUAUUGGGCGUAAAGAGCUCGUAGGCGGUUUGUCGCGUCUGUCGUGAAAGUCCGGGGCUUAACCCCGGAUCUGCGGUGGGUACGGGCAGACUAGAGUGCAGUAGGGGAGACUGGAAUUCCUGGUGUAGCGGUGGAAUGCGCAGAUAUCAGGAGGAACACCGAUGGCGAAGGCAGGUCUCUGGGCUGUAACUGACGCUGAGGAGCGAAAGCAUGGGGAGCGAACAGGAUUAGAUACCCUGGUAGUCCAUGCCGUAAACGUUGGGCACUAGGUGUGGGGACCAUUCCACGGUUUCCGCGCCGCAGCUAACGCAUUAAGUGCCCCGCCUGGGGAGUACGGCCGCAAGGCUAAAACUCAAAGGAAUUGACGGGGGCCCGCACAAGCGGCGGAGCAUGCGGAUUAAUUCGAUGCAACGCGGAGAACCUUACCAAGGCUUGACAUGUUCUCGAUCGCCGUAAAAAUACGGUUUCCCCUUUGGGGCGGGUUCCCAGGUGGUGCAUGGUUGUCCUCAGCUCGUGUCGGGAAAUGUUGGGUUAAGUCCCCCAACGAAGGCAACCCUCCUUCCUUGUUGCCACCACCUCCUGGUGGGGGAAUCCUUGGAAAACUGCCCGGGGUCCACUUCGGAGGGAAGGUGGAGGAAGAACGUC
rnacentral:rRNA from 1 species